GCAAUCACACCCAUCCUGUCUGCUGGGAACUGGGCCUCACAUGUGGCCUCUCCCAAACCUUGCUCAAGCAGGAUUUGGGAAAAUUUUAUCUGGCAUGUACCAAAACCCCACCUGGAAGCAUGUUAACCAUUCAGCAUUCAUAUCCAAACACUGGAUAGUUGGAGGGCCACUGCUCAAACCUGCCUCCUGGCCUUGUGAGCUGUUGGUGUGGAUCCUGUGAUGCCUGUGUUGAGGAACAGGAUGGGACUGCCCUUGGCACCAGGUGUUGGCAUGGACAUUUUUUCUGCUACUCUUCAACACUAGGAAAGUGCUGCAGGGUAAACUUGCUACCCUAAAUUUGUACCACAUUGGAAAAUGGAUGGAGAAUAUGAACAGGAUAUAUGUUAGAGAAAUCUUCGUAUUAAAGAUAGACUGUAUCCUGGGUAAGCUUUCCAUGUGUUCAUGAUGGCCUGUCAUCACUUCAGAGAGAAUCAAGCACAUCUUUAAAACAGACUGUGGAAUAAGUUUUAAUACAGAAAAACAUUUUAUAAAAUAUUCUAUUUUGACAAAGGGUGAAAAAGUGUAUUCUACUACUUCUUUUUAAAUGUAAAAAUAUUAUUUACAAUAAAGAAUUAUCUGGUUUUCUUAAACUAGAACAAUAUAAAUAUCAAAUUUCAGUUUUCUAGCAAAUUGUAAGACUGGAUUGUGAUGUUGACAUUGACAGAAGGCAAGAUCUCAAAGCAUCAUGGUAUACAAAGUCCCAGAAUGGGGGGAGGAGAGAGGUAUGGCCUCAGAAAGACAACUUACCAACAGAUAAAUGACAUUUUGAUUUUAAAAACAUGUGCAGCCUUUGCCAGACAAAAUCUCUGUUUUUAAAUUCUUUCAGUGGAACUUUAUUCAAUCAGAAAAAAAAAUCACCAUCUCCAUAGGCAUAGAGCUCAGGACUUGUUUCCUAGUU